rnacentral:rRNA from 1 species
GACGAACGCUGGCGGCGUGCCUAAUACAUGCAAGUUGAGCGAUGAAGAUUGGUGCUUGCACCAAUUUGAAGAGCAGCGAACGGGUGAGUAACGCGUGGGGAAUCUGCCUUUGAGCGGGGGACAACAUUUGGAAACGAAUGCUAAUACCGCAUAACAACUUUAAACAUAAGUUUUAAGUUUGAAAGAUGCAAUUGCAUCACUCAAAGAUGAUCCCGCGUUGUAUUAGCUAGUUGGUGAGGUAAAGGCUCACCAAGGCGAUGAUACAUAGCCGACCUGAGAGGGGGCGCGGCCACAUUGGGGAGGAGACAGGCCCAAAACUCAGAGGGGGGGAACAAGGAGGGAUUCUGCGGCGAAGGACGAAAGUCAGACAGGGCAAGCCCGGGUGGGGGAAGAGGGUUUUGGGAUAGAAAAAAUCUGUGGGAGGAGAAAAACGUUGGUGGGAGGGAAAAACUCACAAAGUGAGGGUACCUACCAAGAAAGGGACGGCUAACUACGUG